GUCAUGUGGCUGUGUGUGUGUGUCUCUGUGUGUGUGUGUAGGAAGCAAUGGUUUUUAAACAUGUCUAACCUCUGACGUUCCAGAAGACUUCUCUGCAUAUCCCAUAUGAAGAGUCAACCAGUGUUUACAGCCCUGACACCUCCGUCAAUCCCAGCCAUUCACCUACAGCCUAUAAGCAGAGAGUCCCUUCACCAACAGCCUAUAAACAGAGAGUCCAUUCACCUACAGCCUAUAAGCAGAGAGUCCCUUCACCAACAGCCUAUAAGCAGAGAGUCCAUUCACCUACAGCCUAUAAGCAGAGAGUUCCUACAUUGUCUCAUUGAGGACAUAGUGGCUUUGCAGCUCUGAAGACAGAACAGCUAAAAGAUAAUCUGGGAAUCCUUUAUCCCCCUAUUGAGAGUUUUGAAGACUCCAAUCUUGCCGAGUCUAUACAUCAAGAGGACAACGGGGUAGGAAACACAACAUCGACUCCUCUGAAAAACAGGCAUCAAACAACCAAAGACUCCUCCAAGGCCUAUACAAACACAGAAGACCCAAUACAACAAGAGGAAGAGGAGGAAGAGGACGCUGAAGACAUACUGAGUAAAACACCUAAACCGGUUGAUACAUUCAAUGGUGUUAAUGUCGAGGAUGAUGAGGUCAAUGAUGGUUCUGAUGAAGGGUUGAGCUAUGAUGAGGACGAUGUGUUGAUGAGGACGAUGUGUUGAUGAGGACGAUGU